AUGGCUGAUGAAAAAGGUUUGAGGGUGUUGCUGCGGUUUCGGGAGGUUAAUAGUGUUAACAAAAAACUAUUGAGGGAUUUUCAUAAACCACGGGUUAGGGAAAUUUCUUUGUCUUUCUCAUGUUUUUGUAACAAACCAGAAAAAUUAUAUCUUUAUAAAUUAAAAAAAAUGACAACAGUAAUUAUCAAUUCUUAUGCAGGCGCAAGUUUUUAUUUGGACAUGUUGGAGAAGGGCAGCAGGCUGUAUAGAAUACUGUUUUAG